rnacentral:misc_RNA from 1 species
AGAACUAGAAUAAAAAUGACCAUUUGACAGUUGGGACUACAGACUUAGUAUUUCAAAUGAAUACCGUUUUAGACUUACAAAAGUAAUUUCCAUUCUAUACCUGUACCAAUUGACCAAGUCCUCUACAGACAAAUUUUGUGAUUUGUAAUUAUUAAAUCAUUUGAUAAGUUAAAACUAAUGUGUAAAGAUGUAUUUUAUGCUGUAUGAAACCAAAGUCCUGAUCAAUAGUGACACAAUACAAAGAACAAUGGGAAUCUUUCUGUAAAUCUCUGGUCACAUUGUACUACAUUGUCUGCAGAAAUUGUCUUCAAUUGAGACUGUCCUUUCGUUAAUUUCGAGACGGGAAGAUAAUGUUUGUAGAUCAAAAUUGGGUGACCAAAACUCAUUUUUACCAGUAACUGUAUUCAUGUUUUACAUUCUGUUUUUAUAAUAAUCAAUUUUCCUGUACAUGUCCCUCUGUAUUGAAAAUAAUUGAAAGCGACUCUCCUUGUAACAAUAAUGUCACUUUGUGAUGCCUUUUCCUUCUUGUGUAACAGGAACAUUGUAUUACUCAUGAGGUUUACAUUAUUUCACAAUUACAUAAAAGUGCCUGAAAGUAGUUCAGUGAUGAAGGGAGAUAAUUUAGGAACUGGAAAGAGAAGACUACUGGUGUUUACUGAUAGAAAUAUUGCGAUUAUUACGGGCAUUGGGAGUUUGUUAUUUUGUGUUUUUUGUUACUGUUACUGACUUAACAUACAGCUGUAUUUAUGGAUACAGCUCAUGCAAAGAUGUAUAAAAUAAAUGUCUCAGAAUAC